AUUGAACGCUGGCGGCAUGCCUUACACAUGCAAGUCGAACGGUAACAGGGAGCUUGCUCCGCUGACGAGUGGCGAACGGGUGAGUAAUGUAUCGGAACGUACCUUUCAGUGGGGGAUAACGUAGCGAAAGUUACGCUAAUACCGCAUAUUCUGUGAGCAGGAAAGCAGGGGAUCGCAAGACCUUGCGCUGAUUGAGCGGCCGAUAUCAGAUUAGCUAGUUGGUGAGGUAAAGGCUCACCAAGGCGACGAUCUGUAGCGGGUCUGAGAGGAUGAUCCGCCACACUGGAACUGAGACACGGUCCAGACUCCUACGGGAGGCAGCAGUGGGGAAUUUUGGACAAUGGGGGCAACCCUGAUCCAGCCAUGCCGCGUGAGUGAAGAAGGCCUUCGGGUUGUAAAGCUCUUUCGGCCGGGAAGAAAUCGUAUCAGCUAAUACCUGGUGCGGAUGACGGUACCGGCAUAAGAAGCACCGGCUAACUACGUGCCAGCAGCCGCCGUAACAC
rnacentral:rRNA from 1 species